UUUUAGCCCUGAUAGAAGUGGAAAUCCUUUUAUUUUUUUCUUUAAAAAAUAAAAGAUUGAAACAGAUAGCAGGAUUAGCU
rnacentral:sRNA from 1 species